CCUUCCCAUUUGUGUGUUAUUGCAACUCGACCAACACACCUACAGCCUACAACGACCGACAGUGGUACAACAACCACCAGCAAAAUAUGACGACGGUGCUUGCCCGUCGACGCAUGCAGUACCGGUAACCAUCCCCACACCCAAUGCAACCUACAACCACGAACGGUGUUCACGAAGACCAACCCACGGCGUCGUGACCUUCGAAAACCGUGAAGUAGUUACCCACUGAACACAAGGCAUACUAGCAGUAGCAUUUUCCCCUAUUCGGAUUAAGUGAGUUUGGACACCAAGCAACGAGGUUUUGGGUCAUUUUGGGUCUGAUCCAGUGGAUUUGGAAUGGUUUCAAGAUUAUUUGUACACCUUUUAGCAUGGACGCAAGCCUAUUUGGAUUCAGAACCGUUCGAACACUUUUCAGCAAGAGCCCAAGCCUCUUUUGUCUAGGCUUGAUUCGAAGUGUUCGGAUUGGGAUUCAAGGUCGUUGUAGUGUAGGGUGACGGUCGUCAGAGCAUGUCGCUGAAGUUGGUCAUCGAUGGUGUCUGUUUAGUGGAGUCAUUGGAAACAUUGAAGGGAGGAAGGGAGGAACAGGUACAGAUAGUUUCUCAAUAAAUGUAUAAAUUUCAAUAAUGAAUACUACUGAAAUUGGUGGAAUUGAGUUAUUUAAUACAGACUUAUAAAGUUGAUGGGCUAAACACUAAGUGAGUAAAUUACUCAACUCAACUUAACUCAAGUCAAUGCCCUAAACAACAUCUUAUAAUUUAACAUAACAUUUAAAUUAACAUGUAUAUAUUGUCAGAAAUAUGUCAUAGACAAUAACGACUAAAUAUUCAACAAAAAAAAUAUAUAUAAAAAGAAACAAAACCACUUAUAUUUGAAAAACUCAACAAACAUGGUGCACAAUUUUAUUUUAACAUUCUUUAUGUUCUCUUCCUCGCACAACUGCAUUAAUAAUAUAAAGAUCAAUCUUUAUUUAUAGGAUUUUGAUGGAUAAUUCUAAGAUUCACAACUGCCCCUUCUUAUGACAGUUUUAAUCUCUAGCUCUCAUCAUAAAUACAUAACAUAUAAAUACUCAUACUUAAAUUCAUGAACAUCAUAUUUCAUGAAUGUAUAUCUAACUCUGUAAUACAUGAAUUUAUCAACUCGCAUCCACUAAUAUACUAAAUUCUUAAAUCUAUUUAAUCAACUCUUGAUUCAUGUAUAAUUUAUCUAGAAUUAAAAUAUGUACCUUUUUUUCUUUAAAAAGUAUGUUUAAUCUUUAACUAUAUUCAUAUCUCAAUUUAACUACGUUCACAUCUCAAUUUUAUAAAAAUAUCGAUGAAAUAUCGAAUUCAAUAAAUUUAUGAAAAACUAUAAAAACAA